CCACCCACCCGUGUCCGGCGACGACGGCGAGGAACCAAGCAAGCAGGGAAGGAAAGGGGAUCGCGGAGCAGCAGCAAUAGCAGCCAUGGGCGUGAUGGACAGGCUCAAGAUCUUCGUCGUCAAGGAGCCCGUCGUCGCCGCCUCCUGCCUAAUCGCCGGAUUCGCCACCACCACCCCAUCCCACCGGAGCAGAGCAAGGCGGCGCCGCGGCGACCUCAUCUCCGGCCAAGGGAAAUGACUACCGUUCCGGGAUCUCUGGUCUGGGAGCUCGUGAAGAAGAACAACUGCUUCUUGAUCAAGCAGUUCGGCAACAGCAACGCCAAGGUACAGUUCAGCAAGGAGCCCAACAACCUCUACAAUGUCCACUCCUACAAGUUCUCGGGCUUGGCGAACAGCAAGACCGUGGCUGUCCAGCCAUCAGCGGGAGAGGACAAGGCUGUCGUCCUGUCCACGACCAAGACCAAGAAGCAGAACACCCCUGCCAAGCUCCAGCACAAGACUCUGAUGCGCAAGGAGUUCCGCAAGAUGGCCAAGUCUGUCAAGAACCAGGUAUGCGACAACUACUACAGGCCUGACCUGACCAAGCCGGCCCUUGCAAGGCUGAGCGCAGUGUACCGCAGCCUCCAGGUUUCCAAGUCUGGGGUCAAGAAGAAGAACAGGCAGCCAACUAAGCUGUAAACUCAUUAAGGUUGCCUUUUGGCACUCAUGUUAUCAUGUCUGUUCCAACAGUUUUGAGUCAUAAGUGAGACCCUUGGAAGAACCAUGUUACAAAUCCGCCCUAGUUUGUACCCUGACAGUGUUAGAAGAAUGGUUUGUGUUGACCUAUAAUCGCUGCUUGUUGUUAAA